AAACGGUCCCGCAUGCGCAAUACAGUUGUGACAGCAGCAGAAUGCUGUCGGGGCCUGGCUGCGGACGACGUGGCUGCAAGCGCGACUAGUCACCCUCAUCGCUUUCUCCACAUUAGUUCCAUCUUCCGUACACGUACCUUGAAGUUGUCACGCCAGUUUGGAGAGGGGAGUUCGCAAGAAGCGAGAUAAGUGGAGCAUACAGGGUGUGCGUGGAGUGGGGUCCUCGAGCCGCCUGCGGUGUCAGUUCCAGCGCCACCAUAUGUGCUCCUAGCCAGGCCAUUCGGGUGUUAACUCUGCUCGGUUGCCUAGGAAACGGCUCCGCAUGCGCUGUGCCGAGUGAGAGUGGCAGAACGCGAUCGGCGGCUGGCUGCGCGCGACGUAGCUGCAGGUGCGGUACCUUUCUACUUGUGGAGAAUCAAGGUAGGAUCCGGUAGGAAUCAAGAUAGGAAGCCGUGACGCGUUCUUCGAGCGUUGAGAGGACAAACACAACUUGGUCGAACUCGUAAUCCUCAUCGCUUCCUCCACAUCAUCUCCAUCUUCCAUAUCCUGACCGUGAAGUUAUCGCGCCAGUUUGGAGAUGAGAAUUUGCAAGAAGCGAGAUAAGUGUGGCAGACAGGGGUGAGCGUACUGCAAACGAGGAUACCAGAGUGCAAGAACCAGCCCACAUACAGUGAUCGACAACGAUACGGCGAAAACACGCAGUUCAUCGCAGCCGUGACAGAUGGUGCCAUCCGUUCCAUAGGAGUCGAAUAGACAUGUUUUGGGUGACGUCACCGCAGACGACACCGACUUCAGAUUUAUUGUGGACGAAACCGGAUGACAACAGGUCAGCAAAUAGGCGGCUGCCACUGUGUGUAGUGCGGGACACCAAAACGAAAAUGGCAGCGGGUGGAGCAAGCCGGACGUGAUUUUUUUUUCUCGUCCAAGAAGGCCCAGCCUUUCCACCAGUCGAGCUCAAUCACGCCUCCUUCAAGCAACACAAUAAAGGGUGAUGUCAACAUGUUCGUGGCUUCAGUGUUUCACCAGUCACAUAACUCAUCUAGGCACUGGUCGGGGACCACUUCCCGAGCACCACGAAGCAGCAGUGCCCACUGAGGCCCAGAUCCACGCCGAAGGCUACAGCCGAGGUCCCAUUCCAAUUCACCACGGCCGAGGAGCGUCGGGAAAUCUGUGGACAGCGCUCGGGGAGGAGACAAAAGGCACUCACACGUAGUGACACAAUCUUGAUUUUAAAGAAACAAAUAAAAAUAAAUCACCCACACAAAUUGUACUGGUAUAGAGGGUCCUUCAAUCACUGUGAUUUCAUUUAAAAGUACAAAUAAAGAGAAACACAGAGUGAAAUUGUA